rnacentral:rRNA from 1 species
GACUAUGGGGCGAGCCUGACGCAGCGACGCCGCGUGGGGGAUGAAGCUUUUCGGAGUGUAAACCCCUUUCGACCCGGACGAAAGCCCGCAAGGGCCUGACGGUACGGGUAUAAGAAGCCCCGGCUAACUACGUGCCAGCAGCCGCGGUAAAACGUAGGGGGCCAGCGUUGCUCGGAAUUACUGGGCGUAAAGGGUCUGUAGGCGGUGCGGCAAGUCGGAAGUGAAAUCUGAGGGCUCAACCCUUAGACUGCUCCCGAAACUGCCGUGCUAGAGUGCGAGAGAGGCGGGUGGAAUUGCAGGUGUAGCGGUGAAAUGCGUAGAUAUCUGCAGGAACAUCCGAGGCGAAAGCGGCCCGCUGGAUCGCAACUGACGCUGAGAGACGAAAGCUAGGGGAGCAAACAGGAUUAGAUACCCUGGUAGA